rnacentral:lncRNA from 1 species
GAGUUUAGGUCAUCGGACGCUGUCGUUAGAGGUGAAGCCUUUGGCCUUCGAAAGAAGAGUGAGAAAGAAAAAAAGGUCAAUUUCUCUGAAAACUGUAGCAUCUUUGACCCCUGAAUCGAACCCUAAGGGGGUUCUGGUCUUGGCGCCGAAGAGAAAGAUCGACGGAGGAAGACGAAACGCCUUCGGUGAGUGCGUACCCCCCUCCUCUUAUUAUUUUUCAAUGUAUUCAAAUCUUUUUUGCUUUCAAAUUUAGAAGGAAAUAGGAUAAAAGCGAAAGAAAAUCACCUUUCAAAACUAUUUGAUUUUUCUUUUCUGUGUAUUUUGAAUGUAUGCAUUCGUAAUACUUUUACUGUAUACAAUCGGCCUCCCUUUUAUAGAAAAAUAGAAAUUAAAAUGAAUACAAAUUUUCCUUAUUUUCUUUUAUGCUAUUGCUCUCCUGUAUUCUGUUACCUUUUCUUCUCGCAGGUUUGGCUGACGUGAAAGUGUACGGAGGCUGUACGAGGGUAGUGCAUGGGGUGUACGGAGGCUGCUUAGUGGCUACUGCGGCUCCUAGCAACAAGGGAAACCCUAGGGCUUCCGUUUCUAAAACAUUUUAGGCCAUUGGGCUUGUUUCCGCUAUUGGGCCACUGUAAUUUGGUCUGUUUGGGGGUUUUGGGUGUAAUGGAGUUUUGGGUUUUAAUUUGGGCUGGUAAAGGCUGUAAAUGGACUAUUUUGGACUGUUUUAAUUUUGUGGCUUUUGUUAAUUAUUUUGUUUUAUUGUUUCUGAUGGGCCUGGGCAAAUUAGGUUGCUUACACGCAUCAUUCGGUACACAAACCCGACCACGGAAACAAAGUACCCUAUCACUAUUCAGUCCAAAAUCCGAAGUGUUGCCACUCUAAACCUGACGGAAUCGUAACCUUAGAGGCUCAUCCCUCAACUGCUUAUCUCGAAUCUGCUCAAUCCAAGUCGGCUUAACUUGCAACUCAGCCAACAGACUCCCAUCAUCAAACAAACUAAGGUAAGCAAACAUCGCCCUCAAAUUGGAC